rnacentral:rRNA from 1 species
GGGAUAAGCCUGGGAAACUGGGUCUAAUACCGGAUAUGACUCCUCAUCGCAUGGUGGGGGGUGGAAAGCUUUAUUGUGGUUUUGGAUGGACUCGCGGCCUAUCAGCUUGUUGGUGAGGUAAUGGCUCACCAAGGCGACGACGGGUAGCCGGCCUGAGAGGGUGACCGGCCACACUGGGACUGAGACACGGCCCAGACUCCUACGGGAGGCAGCAGUGGGGAAUAUUGCACAAUGGGCGAAAGCCUGAUGCAGCGACGCCGCGUGAGGGAUGACGGCCUUCGGGUUGUAAACCUCUUUCAGUAGGGAAGAAGCGAAAGUGACGGUACCUGCAGAAGAAGCGCCGGCUAACUACGUGCCAGCAGCCGCGGUAAUACGUAGGGCGCAAGCGUUAUCCGGAAUUAUUGGGCGUAAAGAGCUCGUAGGCGGUUUGUCGCGUCUGCCGUGAAAGUCCGGGGCUCAACUCCGGAUCUGCGGUGGGUACGGGCAGACUAGAGUGAUGUAGGGGAGACUGGAAUUCCUGGUGUAGCGGUGAAAUGCGCAGAUAUCAGGAGGAACACCGAUGGCGAAGGCAGGUCUCUGGGCAUUAACUGACGCUGAGGAGCGAAAGCAUGGGGAGCGAACAGGAUUAGAUACCCUGGUAGUCCAUGCCGUAAACGUUGGGCACUAGGUGUGGGGGACAUUCCACGUUUUCCGCGCCGUAGCUAACGCAUUAAGUGCCCCGCCUGGGGAGUACGGCCGCAAGGCUAAAACUCAAAGGAAUUGACGGGGGCCCGCACAAGCGGCGGAGCAUGCGGAUUAAUUCGAUGCAACGCGAAGAACCUUACCAAGGCUUGACAUGAACCGGAAAUACCUGGAAACAGGUGCCCCGCUUGCGGUCGGUUUACAGGUGGUGCAUGGUUGUCGUCAGCUCGUGUCGUGAGAUGUUGGGUUAAGUCCCGCAACGAGCGCAACCCUCGUUCUAUGUUGCCAGCGCGUUAUGGCGGGGACUCAUAGGAGACUGCCGGGGUCAACUCGGAGGAAGGUGGGGACGACGUCAAAUCAUCAUGCCCCUUAUGUCUUGGGCUUCACGCAUGCUACAAUGGCCGGUACAAAGGGUUGCGAUACUGUGAGGUGGAGCUAAUCCCAAAAAGCCGGUCUCAGUUCGGAUUGGGGUCUGCAACUCGACCCCAUGAAGUCGGAGUCGCUAGUAAUCGCAGAUCAGCAACGCUGCGGUGAAUACGUUCCCGGGCCUUGUACACACCGCCCGUCAAGUCA